UUUAAACCCUAAAUAUGAGUCUUAUGAUUCCUAUACUAAU
rnacentral:tRNA from 1 species